UACGUAGGUGGCAAGCGUUGUCCGGAAUUAUUGGGCGUAAAGGGCGUGUAGGUGGAUUCUUAAGUCUUGUGUCUAAGUGCAGGGCUCAACCCCGUAUGGGCGCAGGAAACUGAGAAUCUUGAGUGCAGGAGAGGAAAGUGGAAUUCCCAGUGUAGCGGUGAAAUGCGUAGAUAUUGGGAGGAACACCAGUGGCGAAGGCGACUUUCUGGACUGUGUCUGACACUGAGGCGCGAAAGCCAGGGGAGCGAACGGG
rnacentral:rRNA from 1 species